rnacentral:pre_miRNA from 1 species
CCAGUGCUGAUUGUCCAAACGCAAUUCUUGUUGACCUUUGAACCAAGAACUGCGCUGGACAUCAGCAAUUGACGCUGCCUAC